rnacentral:rRNA from 1 species
UACGGAGGGUGCGAGCGUUGUCCGGAAUCAUUGGGCGUAAAGGGCGCGUAGGUGGCCCGGUCAGUUCGUGGUGAAAGCGCGGGGCUCAACCCUGCGUCGGCCAUGAAUACUGCCGCGGCUGGAGCACUGUAGAGGCAGGCGGAAUUCCGGGUGUAGCGGUGGAAUGCGUAGAGAUCCGGAGGAACACCGAAGGCGAAGGCAGCUCGCUGGGACGGUACUGACGCUGAGGCGCGAAAGCGUGGGGAGCAAACAGG